rnacentral:rRNA from 1 species
UUAGUCAAUGCUCGCAAGAGUGAACUAGCUAACUGAAAUCAUACUUGUGUCAAGUGUGAUAACGUAAGGGAAGAUAAUGACAUUACCUUACUAUUAGUGUUGUCCAAAUCUGGUGCCAGAAGACUCGGUAAGGCCAGAGACGCAAACGUUAGUCGUCCUAAUCAGGCGUAAAGGGUGUGUAGGCAGCUUUAAACUUUAUUCUUUUUCUAAAUCCUUAAUUUAAAGUUUCAAUCACUAACGUGAUGCCUAUUAGGCAAUAGAUUGAGGGUGAAGAAAUAUAGACUAAUAUUUUUUAUUACCUAAAUUAUAAAAAAAUUAAGAAAAGAAUGAACUAAUAAAAGCUAGAAUCAAAUAGAGGAUAUAUUAAAUAAUAUUUAGAGGAGGGGCGAUAUCCUUAGAUACUAAAUGGAAUAUUAAGGGUGAAAGCUUUUUAUCUACUAAUGAUUGACGCUGAGAAACGAAGGUGAGUAUAGGAAAUAGGAUUAGAUACCCAGAUACCACUCUCUGUCAACGAUGAAUGGUGGUUGCCAGUUGUAAAAAAAUUGGUGGCUAUGUUAACACGAUAACCAUUCCGCCAUGUGAGUACGACUGCAAAGUUGAAAACAAAAAAAUUAGUCGGUCUCGAAGCAAACGAAGUGAAGCAUGUUAUUUAAUUCAUUUAGUCGGUCUCGAAGCAAACGAAGUGAAGCAUGUUAUUUAAUUCAUA